rnacentral:ncRNA from 1 species
UAAAACGCUAGGAAUGAGAGAGUAUGUAGGUUAUACCCUUACAGAGAGCUUUUGUCAGGUGGAAAAGAGCAGGGUGAAUUUAUAGAAGAUGGCUCAGGAGCGGUGCGCCAAACCGUGUAAAACGCUUAGGACGCAACAGGUUUGCCUGUUACAGCAAAGGAGUAUAAUUAUCCGGAUGGAUAACGUACUUGCUAAGUUCUUUUGCCGUGAGGCAGAGAUAAAAUGAAGUGGUAACACGGGUAAUACUCGUCUUCUAA